GUUUUAUCUCUGUUUAUGUACAGUGACAUCAUCUAUCUGCCUGCAUAACAGAACUUUCCCUGUCAUGUUUUGUGCUUUGACCUCUCGAUGCUUUCACCUCCUCUGCCAAAUACUUUGUUUCUGCAUCAAGAGAGAGGAGCAAAACCACUGUGGGGGGAAAACAGCAGUUAAGGCUCUUCAGUGAACAAGACUGCAGGCUUAGUCCCAAACGUGGCCUCAAGAGGGCUCCCAGCUUCCUUCCAGCAUCCUUGGAUGAGACAGAGACAGCAACCUGGCACAGAGAGAGGAUGAUCACAGCUGUAUGGCUGCUCAAGAAGCAUUGUUUUUCAAUGUGAAAGGUCAAGUGCUGAACUGCUAAACUCUUCUCUUAUUUUAAAGAGGUUGAAUCUUUGCUGGUAUGCUGAGUUGACUCGUAACUCUGGACUGACUGAGUUCAGGGCUGACUUCUAAACUCUGCAACACUCGAAAUCCUGUAACAUGGAUCAACUUUGAACCUCUCCUGGUUUCAGAGAAGACUAAAGCUCUGUGGCUCAAAUGUGACAGAUUCCUAGGCACCUGUGCCUAUGAGAGAUGCAGGUACCUUUGCAGAUCUUGGCCCACAUCAUUGGAGCAAAUGUCACUGAGCACACAGGAAGGAUUAUCUGUCUGGAUAGUGAAGAAUCAACUGCACAGUUCUGUGAAAACAUACAUUUGUUGGGAAUUAAUUAGGAAUUGAAAGUGCGGGGGAAAGACCCAGUAAGAGAGGACCACUGAAAGCACAUUGGAUGCAUUGGGUAUGGCCUAUUCCCACUGUGAGUGACACUGCUUCUUGCUUUUGAGAAAGAGAAAAGGAAGAGUAAAAGCAAGAGAAACUUCUGAGUCAAGAAAGAAAUGUUUGGACAAAGAGAGAAAGAAAACAAAACAAGGAAACCUUUGAAGGAUGGAUGAACUGAAUGUGAGAGCAGGAGGAAGGAGGACAGCUGUCCCUUCUGCCACUGUGAAGCGGCUCUGGGGUGUAAACGGAUCUGCUGACUGUGGAUGGAGGGUUGCUGUUUCAGGAGCAACUGCAAAUUCAGACACAUGAGAAUUGAU
ensembl:lncRNA